GACGAACCGAGCGAACGUUGUUCGGAAUCACUGGGCUUAAAGGGCGCGUAGGCGGGCUGCCGCGUCCGGGGUGAAAGCCCCCCGCUCAACGGGGGAACGGCCUCGGAUACGGGCGAUCUCGAGGGGGGUAGGGGCACCUGGAACUGUGGGUGGAGCGGUGAAAUGCGUUGAUAUCCACAGGAACUCCGGUGGCGAAGGCGAGGUGCUGGACCACAUCUGACGCUGAGGCGCGAAAGCCAGGGGAGCGAACGGG
rnacentral:rRNA from 1 species